GGCUGUGGGCGGGCAAGCAGGCGGUGGAGUGCGGAGGGGUGUCGCGUGGUGCGGAUUUAGUGGGCGUAAAGAGGGUUUGGGCGGCUUUGCAGGUCCGCUGUGAAAACUCGAGGGUCAACCGCGAGACGUCGGUGGAAACCGCAUGGCUAGAGUGCGGAAGAGGAGAGUGGAAUUCCCGGUGUAGCGGUGAAAUGCGCAGAUAUCGGGAAGAACACCCGUGGCGAAGGCGGCUCUCUGGGACGGUACUGACGCUGAGACGCGAAAGCGUGGGGAGCGAACAGGAUUAGAACCCCUGUAGUC
rnacentral:rRNA from 1 species